UUUGAGUGAGUGGCGAACUGGUGAGUAACACGUGGGAAACCUGCCCAGAAGCGGGGGAUAACACCUGGAAACAGAUGCUAAUACCGCAUAACAACUUGGACCGCAUGGUCCGAGUUUGAAAGAUGGCUUCGGCUAUCACUUUUGGAUGGUCCCGCGGCGUAUUAGCUAGAUGGUGGGGUAACGGCUCACCAUGGCAAUGAUACGUAGCCGACCUGAGAGGGUAAUCGGCCACAUUGGGACUGAGACACGGCCCAAACUCCUACGGGAGGCAGCAGUAGGGAAUCUUCCACAAUGGACGAAAGUCUGAUGGAGCAACGCCGCGUGAGUGAAGAAGGGUUUCGGCUCGUAAAACUCUGUUGUUAAAGAAGAACAUAUCUGAGAGUAACUGUUCAGGUAUUGACGGUAUUUAACCAGAAAGCCACGGCUAACUACGUGCCAGCAGCCGCGGUAAUACGUAGGUGGCAAGCGUUGUCCGGAUUUAUUGGGCGUAAAGCGAGCGCAGGCGGUUUUUUAAGUCUGAUGUGAAAGCCUUCGGCUCAACCGAAGAAGUGCAUCGGAAACUGGGAAACUUGAGUGCAGAAGAGGACAGUGGAACUCCAUGUGUAGCGGUGAAAUGCGUAGAUAUAUGGAAGAACACCAGUGGCGAAGGCGGCUGUCUGGUCUGUAACUGACGCUGAGGCUCGAAAGUAUGGGUAGCAAACAGGAUUAGAUACCCUGGUAGUCCAUACCGUAAACGAUGAAUGCUAAGUGUUGGAGGGUUUCCGCCCUUCAGUGCUGCAGCUAACGCAUUAAGCAUUCCGCCUGGGGAGUACGGCCG
rnacentral:rRNA from 1 species